CUUGAAUAAACACAAUAUCAGUAAAACAAACAGAAUCUAAACACACCGGUCAAUAUGAACUCCAGUCAGAACGUCGAUAGCUCGGAGGAGCAGACCAUGAAAAGUGACCCUUACUUCAGUGAGAUCCUGAACAAUUACAAUUGCCGGGCCAAGCACCAAGAAAUUGUAUUGAAAUACGGCAAUCCACGUCGCGCCAGAGACUCAGUUGAGCCACGAACAAAUUUGUGCACGCUGCGACCGUAAUAUAGCCUACCAUAAAAUAAUGAUCGCACGGGAGACCGAAACGAAGAACAAAGUGCCAGGGCUCCAAGGACACAAGCAAUAUUCCACACAAAAAAUCAAUAAUUGUUGCAGCAGGGGGCGGGGCGUGGUGCAAGAACGCGGAUGCAUGUGAGUGGGAGCAAACUUUUCUUGUCAAUUGAGAGGCAGGGCAGGCGAGUUCACCAGUAGAGAAGCCCCUCGCAUUCCUCAUCCCCUUAACUGAGCCAAAUCCAUGCUCAUAACUAAUUGCCAAAGCCGACGAAGUCGCCUUCGCCAUCGCCAGUUGCCGUUGCCAUCUUAAGUCGCCUUUGGCAGCAUUGCAAAGUUUAAAUUAAGUUGCGUGUCAUAGUCGAAAAGUUUUCCACUUAUUCAAAAGAAGAACGUGCUCUGCUCUGCCUUCUAGUAUCCAGGAAUGGGUCCAGUAUCAAUCCACAAGCAUGGAAAAAAAAAAACACAAGCAACAAAAAAAAACGUACUGAGUACCUGCCGUGCCUGAAGCAAGUAAAAACAUGCAUAUUUUUACAUUGAGAAGUUACCAAGUUGCUAGGUACAAAGUGAGUCAGUCACAUGUGCUGUUGCCAUUGAAGGACGAACUGCGCCUAAAGCGACUAUGAUUCGAAUAAAACUGAUUAAUAAAUGAUAUUAUGAUUCGUGUAUUGCAGCGAGUGGGCGCAAACAGCUUGGAGUGGAUCUACAGCUACAAUAAGCACAAUUCCCUUUUUGAUUCCCACUUUCCCAUUUAAUGCAGCGAUUGAUUGCUGACAGCUGCUUUCCAGCUUAAAUAUUUAUAUGUAAUUUCUUUGGACAUUAAGUUAAUGCAAACAAACUAAAUUAAUAAAUGGAAUCUCAGCCG